rnacentral:rRNA from 1 species
AUACGUAGGGGGCAAGCGUUAUCCGGAAUUACUGGGUGUAAAGGGUGUGUAGGCGGCAAUGCAAGUCAGAUGUGAAAGCCAAGGGCUCAACCCUUGGACUGCAUUUGAAACUGUGUAGCUAGAGUGCAGGAGAGGUAAGUGGAAUUCCUAGUGUAGCGGUGAAAUGCGUAGAUAUUAGGAAGAACACCAGUGGCGAAGGCGGCUUACUGGACUGUAACUGACGCUGAGGCACGAAAGCGUGGGGAGCGAACAGGAUUAGAUACCCUGGUAGUCCACGCUGUAAACGAUGAAUGCUAGGUGUCGGGGGUCGACAGACCUUCGGUGCCGCAGCUAACGCAUUAAGCAUUCCACCUGGGGAGUACGAUCGCAAGAUUGAA